rnacentral:lncRNA from 1 species
ACCGUCUUGCAAUACCUUCCACCUGAAUGACACAAAUGUGGUACAAUAAUAAUAAUAAUAAUAAUAAUAAUAAUAAUAAUAAUAAUAAUAAUAAUAAUAAUAAUAAUAAUAAUUAACUGAUGUAACAAGGAAUUGUUGUUGCAUAUUUGCUCCUUUUGCAUCCACAGUUAAUUCAGCAAGUUCCCCUUAAGUUUUGAAAAGGAAAACAUUUUCAUAUGCAGGAACAGAGGCAUCCAGGUCUGUGUCUUGCCCAGAUCUAGACUGGAAAUGGGAAGAGAGGCUGUUUCCAAGCCUUGUAGCACUGGUUGGUUUUCCUGCCUCCUUUUUUACACUGCGGAGAUCAUGAGCACCUUUAAGCAACGGCAGCUGAUCCCAGGGAAAGAGACAAGGAGGGAGGAAGGAAAGGAAAGAAGGAGAGGCAGAAGGUAAAUUAUCUCCUACUUUUUUCCUUAAUUGUUGUGUAACCCUCAACUUUAACUUGGCUCCUUCCAGAAGCAGCCAGAACUACUGCCAAGUGGCUGAGAGGAAAAGUCAAAUGAAGAAUAUUUAUACAUAAUUCCAUCCAUUUUGGCCCAAUGAACAAAUAGUAAAAUAAUUAAUAGCUGAG